ACAAUGUUCUUAAAGUUUGACCUCAAAUCAGGUAGGAGUACCCGCUGAACUUAAGCAUAUCAAUAAGCGGAGGAAAAGAAACCAACCGGGAUUGCCUUAGUAACGGCGAGUGAAGCGGCAAAAGCUCAAAUUUGAAAUCUGGUACCUUUGGUGCCCGAGUUGUAAUUUGGAGAGGGCAACUUUGGGACCGUUCCUUGUCUAUGUUCCUUGGAACAGGACGUCAUAGAGGGUGAGAAUCCCGUGUGGCGAGGAGUGCGGUUCUAUGUAAAGUGCCUUCGAAGAGUCGAGUUGUUUGGGAAUGCAGCUCUAAGUGGGUGGUAAAUUCCAUCUAAAGCUAAAUAUUGGCGAGAGACCGAUAGCGAACAAGUACAGUGAUGGAAAGAUGAAAAGAACUUUGAAAAGAGAGUGAAAAAGUACGUGAAAUUGUUGAAAGGGAAGGGCAUUUGAUCAGACAUGGUGUUUUGCGCCCUCUGCUCCUUGUGGGUGGGGGAAUCUCGCAGUUCACUGGGCCAGCAUCAGUUUUGGUGGCAGGAUAAAUCCGUAGGAAUGUAACUUGCUUCGGGAAGUAUUAUAGCCUAUGGGAAUACUGCCAGCUGGGACUGAGGACUGCGACGUAAGUCAAGGAUGCUGGCAUAAUGGUUAUAUGCCGCCCGUCUUGAAACACGGACCAAGGAGUCUAACGUCUAUGCAAGUGUUUGGGUGUAAAACCCAUACGCGUAAUGAAAGUGAACGUAGGUUGG
rnacentral:rRNA from 1 species